UGGGGGAUAUUGCGCAAUGGAGGAAACUCUGACGCAGCAACGCCGCGUGAAGGAAGAAGGUCUUCGGAUUGUAAACUUUUGUCUUCGGGGACGAUAAUGACGGUACCCGAGGAGGAAGCCACGGCUAACUACGUGCCAGCAGCCGCGGUAAUACGUAGGUGGCGAGCGUUGUCCGGAAUUACUGGGUGUAAAGGGUGCGUAGGCGGGUUGACAAGUCAGAUGUGAAAUCCCAUGGCUUAACUGUGGGACUGCAUUUGAAACUGUUGGCCUUGAGUGCAGGAGAGGUAAGCGGAAUUCCCAGUGUAGCGGUGAAAUGCGUAGAUAUUGGGAGGAACACCAGUUGCGAAGGCGGCUUACUGGACUGCAACUGACGCUGAUGCACGAAAGCGUGGGGAUCAAAC
rnacentral:rRNA from 1 species